GUCGAUGGCUCAGUUCUCUGAAAGCAGUGAUGUUUACAGCUUUAGAGUUUUUCCUUUGGAGCUAAUUACUGGCAGGGAAGCAGCUUCCUUGAUACCUACAGAGUCCAGAGAAUAUUUGGCACACUGGAUGGAAGCGCAUUUCAGUUCAAAUGAACUGAUUGACCCAAGAUUAGCCGACAACUUCACUGCAGAAGGUAUGAAGGAGCUUGUUGGUCUGGCCUUCCAAUGCUUGAACCCAUCAUCAAGACGCCGACCAAGGAUGAGGCUUCAAGAUUAUCACGAUGUUAUCUGUGCGGAUCUAUUUUGUAUUUUUUAUGCCUAACAAUGUUUGUAUGUUGAAAUCAUCCUUAGUUAUUGGUUGUUCUUAGCUUCAAGAUUAUUUACAUGCACCCGUUUAGAUUUUUUUUGGUCUUGUUGAACUUCUUUCCUCACUGGGUCACUGGGAUAUCUUAUCUAUUCUCAUGACAGUGAAUGAGUUCUUACUGUUGACCUCCCACAGUUCCUGACUUCCUGACAUAUCAGCCACUGUAUUUUUAGUUGAUUGAUCGGCCUGAGGGUGGAUACUUGACUGCUGAUUUACCAAUGCCUCGGGGAGAAAUUGUCAUUGGAGGUCCAAA